rnacentral:rRNA from 1 species
CGACGAAUCAUUCAAGCUUCUGCCCUAUCAGCUUUGGAUGGUAGGGUAUUGGCCUACCAUGGCUUUGACGGGUAACGGAGAAUUGGGGUUCGAUUCCGGAGAGGGAGCCUGAGAGAUGGCUACCACAUCCAAGGAAGGCAGCAGGCGCGUAAAUUACCCAAUCCGGACACAGGGAGGUAGUGACAAUAAAUAACAAUGCCGGACUUUCAGUCUGGCAAUUGGAAUGAGAACAAUUUAAAUCCCUUAUCGAGGAUCAAUUGGAGGGCAAGUCUGGUGCCAGCAGCCGCGGUAAUUCCAGCUCCAAUAGCGUAUACUAAAGUUGUUGCAGUUAAAAAGCUCGUAGUUGGAUUUCUGGUGGGGACAGCUGGUCGGGCUGGGAACAGCCUGCACUUGUGCUGGUCUUCAUCAUCCUUGGGGAGAGCAGGCGUGGCAUUAAGUUGUCGGGUCUGGGAUCCUCAUCGUUUACUGUGAAAAAAUUGGAGUGUUCAAAGCAGGCUUAGGCCCUGAAUACAUUAGCAUGG